GAUGAACGCUGGCGGCGUGCCUAAUACAUGCAAGUCGAGCGAACGGACGAGAAGCUUGCUUCUCUGAUGUUAGCGGCGGACGGGUGAGUAACACGUGGAUAACCUACCUAUAAGACUGGGAUAACUUCGGGAAACCGGAGCUAAUACCGGAUAAUAUUUUGAACCGCAUGGUUCAAAAGUGAAAGACGGUCUUGCUGUCACUUAUAGAUGGAUCCGCGCUGCAUUAGCUAGUUGGUAAGGUAACGGCUUACCAAGGCAACGAUGCAUAGCCGACCUGAGAGGGUGAUCGGCCACACUGGGACUGAGACACGGUCCAGACUCCUACGGGAGGCAGCAGUAGGGAAUCUUCCGCAAAGGGCGAAAGCCUGACGGAGCAACGCCGCGUGAGUGAUGAAGGUCUUCGGAUCGUAAAACUCUGUUAUUAGGGAAGAACAUAUGUGUAAGUAACUGUGCACAUCUUGACGGUACCUAAUCAGAAAGCCACGGCUAACUACGUG
rnacentral:rRNA from 1 species